UACGAAGGGUGCUAGCGUUGCUCGGAAUCACUGGGCGUAAAGCGCACGUAGGCGGCUUUCUAAGUCAGGGGUGAAAUCCUGGAGCUCAACUCCAGAACUGCCUUUGAUACUGGAGAGCUUGAGUCCGGGAGAGGUGAGUGGAACUCCGAGUGUAGAGGUGAAAUUCGUAGAUAUUCGGAAGAACGCCAGUGGCGAAGGCGGCUCACUGGCCCGGUACUGACGCUGAUGUGCGAAAGCGUGGGGAGCAAACAGG
rnacentral:rRNA from 1 species